UACGUAGGGUGCGAGCGUUGUCCGGAAUUAUUGGGCGUAAAGGGCUCGUAGGCGGUUUGUCGCGUCGGGAGUGAAAACCAGGUGCUUAACACCUGGCUUGCUUUCGAUACGGGCAGACUAGAGGUAUUCAGGGGAGAACGGAAUUCCUGGUGUAGCGGUGAAAUGACGCAGAUAUCAGGAGGAACACCGGUGGCGAAGGCGGUUCUCUGGGCAUUACCUGACGCUGAGGAGCGAAAGUGUGGGGAGCGAACAGG
rnacentral:rRNA from 1 species